CUGAACUGGCGGCGUGCCUAUACAUGCAGUCGAGCGGACGGAUGGGAGCUUGCUCCCUGAAGUCAGCGGCGGACGGGUGAGUAACACGUGGGCAACCUGCCUGUAAGACUGGGAUAACUUCGGGAAACCGGAGCUAAUACCGGAUAAUGCAUAACCUCUCAUGAGGUUAUGCUGAAAGAUGGUUUCGGCUAUCACUUACAGAUGGGCCCGCGGCGCAUUAGCUAGUUGGUGAGGUAACGGCUCACCAAGGCAACGAUGCGUAGCCGACCUGAGAGGGUGAUCGGCCACACUGGGACUGAGACACGGCCCAGACUCCUACGGGAGGCAGCAGUAGGGAAUCUUCCGCAAUGGACGAAAGUCUGACGGAGCAACGCCGCGUGAGUGAUGAAGGUUUUCGGAUCGUAAAACUCUGUUGUUAGGGAAGAACAAGUGCCGGAGUAACUGCCGGCACCUUGACGGUACCUAACCAGAAAGCCACGGCUAACUACGUGCCAGCAGCCGCGGUAAUACGUAGGUGGCAAGCGUUGUCCGGAAUUAUUGGGCGUAAAGCGCGCGCAGGCGGUCUCUUAAGUCUGAUGUGAAAGCCCACGGCUCAACCGUGGAGGGUCAUUGGAAACUGGGGGACUUGAGUGCAAAAGGAAGUGGAAUUCCCCGUGUACCGGUGAAUGCGUAGAGAUGUGGAGGACACCAUUGGCGAAGGCGAUUUUCUGGUCUGUACUGACCUGACGCGCAAAGCGUGGGGAACCAACG
rnacentral:rRNA from 1 species